rnacentral:rRNA from 1 species
CGCCAGACUCCUACGGGAGGCAGCAGUGGGGAAUAUUGGGCAAUGGGCGCAAGCCUGACCCAGCGACGCCGCGUGAGGGAAGACGGUCUUCGGAUUGUAAACCUCUUUCAGCAGGGAAGACAAAAGGACGGUACCUGCAGAAGAAGCCACGGCUAACUACGUGCCAGCAGCCGCGGUAAUACGUAGGUGGCAAGCGUUAUCCGGAAUUACUGGGUGUAAAGGGAGAGUAGGCGGCAAGGUAAGCGAUAUGUGAAAGCCUUAGGCUUAACCUGAGGAUUGCAUAACGAACUAUCUAGCUAGAGUACAGGAGAGGAAAGCGGAAUUCCUAGUGUAGCGGUGAAAUGCGUAGAUAUUAGGAGGAACACCAGUGGCGAAGGCGGCCUGCUGGACGAUGACUGACGUUGAGGCUCGAAAGCGUGGGGAGCAAACAGGAUUAGAUACCCCGGUAUUC